CCUACGGGGGACUGCAGUGGGGAAUAUUGGGCAAUGGGCGCAAGCCUGACCCAGCAACGCCGCGUGAAGGAAGAAGGCUUUCGGGUUGUAAACUUCUUUUCUGAGGGACGAAGAAAGUGACGGUACCUCAGGAAUAAGCCACGGCUAACUACGUGCCAGCAGCCGCGGUAAUACGUAGGGGGCAAGCGUUAUCCGGAUUUAUUGGGUGUAAGGGGCGUGUAGGCGGGAAAGCAAGUCAGAUGUUAAAACUCAGGGCUCCAACCUGAGCCCGCCUUUGAAACUGUUUUUCUUGAGUGCUGGAGAGGUAAGCGGAAUUCCGUGUGUAGCGGUGAAAUGCGUAGAUAUACGGAGGAACACCAGUGGCGAAGGCGGAUUGCUGGACAGCAACUGACGCUCAGGCGCGAAAGCGUGGGGAGCAAACAGGAUUAGAUACCCGGGUAGUC
rnacentral:rRNA from 1 species